GUCUCAGGCCGUAUCAGCCUGAAGGCGCCCGAUCUCGUCUGGUCUCGGAAGCUAAGCAGGGUCGGGCCUGGUUAGGAUCUUUGGAUGGGAGACCACCUGGGAAUCCCGGGUGCUCGAGGCU
rnacentral:rRNA from 1 species